rnacentral:rRNA from 1 species
CCUACGGGAGACAGCAGUGGGGAAUAUUGGGCAAUGGGCGCAAGCCUGACCCAGCAACGCCGCGUGAAGGAAGAAGGCUUUCGGGUUGUAAACUUCUUUUCUCAGGGACGAAGCAAGUGACGGUACCUGAGGACUAAGCCACGGCUAAAUACGUGCCAGCAGCCGCGGUAAUAAGUAGGUGGCAAGCGUUAUCCGGAUUUACUGGGUGUAAAGGGCGUGUAGGCGGGGACGCAAGUCAGAUGUGAAAACCACGGGCUCAACCUGUGGCCUGCAUUUGAACCUGUGUUGCUGGAGUGCUGGAGAGGCAGACGGAAUGCCUAGUGUAGCGGUGAAAUGCGUAGAUAUUAGGAGGAACACCAGUGGCGAAGGCGGUCUGCUGGACAGCAACUGACGCUGAGGCGCGAAAGCGUGGGGAGCAAACAGGAUUAGAUACCCCGGUAGUC